rnacentral:rRNA from 1 species
UACGUAGGGUGCAAGCGUUGUCCGGAAUUAUUGGGCGUAAAGAGCUCGUAGGCGGUCUGUUGCGUCGGCUGUGAAAACCCGGGGCUCAACCCCGGGCCUGCAGCCGAUACGGGCAGACUAGAGUUCGGCAGGGGAGACUGGAAUUCCUGGUGUAGCGGUGAAAUGCGCAGAUAUCAGGAGGAACACCGGUGGCGAAGGCGGGUCUCUGGACAGUUCCUGACGCUGAGGCACGAAGGCCAGGGGAGCAAACGGG